rnacentral:rRNA from 1 species
CCUACGAGAGGCAGCAGUCGAGAAUCAUUCACAAUGGGGGAAACCCUGCUGGUGCGACGCCGCGUGGGGGAAUGAAGGUCUUCGGAUUGUAAACCCCUGUCAUGUGGGAGCAAAUUAAAAAGAUAGUACCACAAGAGAAAGAGACGGCUAACUCUGUGCCAGCAGCCGCGGUAAUACAUAGGUCUCAAGCGAUGUUCGGAAUCACUGGGCGUAAAGCGUGCGUAGGCUGUUUCGUGAGUCGUCUGUGCAAGGCGCGGGCUCAACCCGCGGACGGCCCAUGAUCCUGCGAGACUAGAGUAAUGGAGGGGGAACCGGAAUUCUCGGUGUAGCAGUGAAAUGCGUAGAUAUCGAGAGGAACACUCGUGGCGAAGGCGGGUUCCUGGACAUUAACUGACGCUGAGGCACGAAGGCCAGGGGAGCGAAAGGGAUUAGAUACCCCAGUAGUC